rnacentral:rRNA from 1 species
UACGGAGGAUGCAAGCGUUAUCCGGAAUCAUUGGGCGUAAAGCGUCCGCAGGUGGUGAUGCAAGUCUAUUGUCAAAGAGCGAGGCUCAACCUCGUCAAGGCGGUGGAAACUGCAAACACUAGAGUGCGGUAGGGGUAGAGGGAAUUCCCAGUGUAGCGGUGAAAUGCGUAGAUAUUGAGAGGAACACCAAUGACGAAGACAACUCACUGGACCGGUACUGACGCUGAUGCGCGAAAACGUGGAGAGCAAACAAG